GUGCUGCAUUUCGGCAGCACAUAUACUUAAAUUGGAACAGAGAAGAUUAGCAUGGGUCCCGUGCAAGGAUGACAUGCAAAUUCAUAAGAACAUAAAGAGCGCA
ensembl:snRNA U6 U6 spliceosomal RNA